AAGUAAAAAAUUAACAAAUGCUCUUCAUAAACUGUCAGUGUUUAAUAUAGAUAUUAGAUAUAGUAUAUUUUGGUAUACCAACAUGUUAGAAAAUUUAUAUAACUUAUGUAUAAUUGAGUAAACAUUUAUUGAUUACAUUCUUUAAAUCUAUUAGGUUUAAUCUCUGCAGUCUGCAGCUCACCAUUGGCAAUGAAGGUCACCUUCCUGUGGUGACGUCUUCCUGGAUAAUAUAUUAAUAUAAUAAUAUAUUCAUGUUUAAUUUUCUAAAUAUGUCCACUUCUACUAUCAGAUGGUUCAGAUGUUAAAAUAUGUACUCUUAAUCGUAAGUAUGCUAAUUGUUCAAAUAUAUAGAUGCCCGGUACAAUAGCAACAGCAUCAUAUUAUAAGUCAACAUAAUAUAGUACACCAAAUGGACAAGAAGAAACUUAAGUACUCCACUAGAAUUACUUUGUCAGUGUGAUGGAAUAGUAGAGUAUAAUAUAUCAUAAACAAAGUAUUGACAAACAAUGGGUAAAAAGCACUUAUUGGAACGGCACCUUUGAAUCUUGGAAUAUAUCAAUUAAAUGAAAACAAUUAUAAUUAUUAUGACUUGAUUUGCGGAGGAACAAUUGCUCAUAAUAUAGUCAUUUCUGCGGCUCAUUGUUUUUGGUAAAAAUGUAUGUUAUCUAAGAGAAUAUCAAUGAUCAACGGUCUAUACAGAAUUUCUGUUGGAAAAUAUUAAGAUAAAAACUUUACAAUUAUUGACAAAGAUUUUACUCAAAUAAUGAAUAAAUUGUUUACUCAGAAGAAGGUUAUUAUGGACCUCCUGAGUUUCACGCUGAAAAUAUAAAUAUUAUUGUGUUACAAAACAGAGUUUCUUUUAAUAAUGAUGCUGCGGCUGUUUGUAUCGAUUGGAAUGGUAAAUACAAGGUAGUCAAUGAAAAUCAAGUAAAGUUUCAGGACAAGAAGUGCAUAAAGAAGAUAGCGGUGCCGGAUUAUGCUUUUUACACUUUAAUUCUUAUUAUUUAACCGGAAUAGUGAGUGUCAGGGAUCCAGAACUGAAAAAUUCAAUUGCAGUGUCCACAGAAGUUAAGUACCACAUUCAAUGGGUUCGUGGACUGUAUAACACACAUAAAGAAGUCCAGUAUAAUAUUAUGAAAAUAUCUUCUUUCAAUUGUAAAUUGAAUGAAUAUUUGUAUAAACAGUUUUUUACCUAUGUGUAACAAUUUUUAACACGAAUAGUAAAACAAUAUAUUAUAUUAUGUGUAUAAUACAGCAGAGCAGUUAUAUUCACUUGUCACCUUUUGUAUUUAAGUAUUGUAUGAGUAAUAUGUCAAUAUAUUAAUGGACAUUUUAGCAAAGAACCUCACGGUAUUUACUUUUUUCAUACAAUUGGACAAUUGUAGAUAGUGGUAGGUACAGUAAUUAAUUCACAAUUAUAUUAGGUAUUUAAAUAAUACAACAAACCAACCAUUCAUUUAUUUCUAUUGACUACAAUACUACAUUGUAUCUACUAUUCUAAUCGAUACAAACAGGUGCAACACCAUUAUUAAAUGAAACUCUGUUUUGUAACACAAUAAUAGAUAUAUCUUCAGCAUGAAACCCAUAAGGUCCAUUAUAACCUUCUUUCAGGUAAACAAUUUUUUUAUCUGAAUUAUAUAUGGCAUACCAAUUAUUUUUUGACUUUGAAUUAUUAAUAACUUACAUUCAUUAUUUGAAUAAAUACAUUGUCAAUUAUUGUGGAAAUUUCUAUCAUAUUUUCCAAGAGCAAAUUUUGUACAGACCAUUGUUUAUUGGUAUUAUUUUAGAUAUCAUACAUUUUUGUCAAAAACAAUGACCAAAACACAAAUUUCAAUAUUAAAUUUAUUUAAUUUACAUUAUUUUUUAAAUAUACUGUAUAAAGAUUUUACCAGAGAUGACUAAAUUUGGGGUAAUAAUUUAUUAAUCCUCCACAUAUAUAGUCAUAGUUGAAUUUUUUUAAUCAGUAUACUCCAACAUUCUAAGGUGCCGUCCCAAUAAGUGUUUUAUCUUCAUUGUACGAUCGAUACUUGGUUUAUGAAAUAGUCCUAGUUCGUAUUUGUUUAUGACGUAUUUUAUUAGUUUUGCUUGUAUAGUGUAGUUGUAGUAAUAUAUUAUAUGUUCAUUUAUUAUACAGACACUUUUGUAGUAUUUACAAUAUGUUUAUUUUGUUAUAAAUUAAAAUGUGAUAGAU